rnacentral:rRNA from 1 species
GUGGCGCACGGGUGAGUAACGCGUGGGUAACCUGCCCUCGAAUUCGGGAUAACGUCGCGAAAGCGGCGCUAAUACCGAAUGUCGUCGCAAGGACUUCGGUUUUUGCGAUGAAAGAUGACCUCUCCAUGGAAGUUGUCGUUCGGGGAGGGGCUCGCGUACCAUUAGCUUGUUGGUGGGGUAAAGGCCUACCAAGGCUACGAUGGUUAGCUGGUCUGAGAGGAUGAUCAGCCACACUGGCACUGAAACACGGGCCAGACUCCUACGGGAGGCAGCAGUGAGGAAUUUUGCGCAAUGGGGGAAACCCUGACGCAGCAACGCCGCGUGAGUGAAGAAGGCCUUCGGGUUGUAAAGCUCUGUCAAGUGGGAAAAAAGCCUCUUUGUUAAUAGCCAAGAGGUCUGAUGGUACCACUGGAGGAAGCACCGGCUAACUCCGUGCCAGCAGCCGCGGUAAUACGGAGGGUGCAAGCGUUGUUCGGAAUUACUGGGCGU